rnacentral:rRNA from 1 species
UACGAAGGGGGCUAGCGUUGUUCGGAAUUACUGGGCGUAAAGCGCACGUAGGCGGAUCGAUCAGUCAGGGGUGAAAUCCCAGAGCUCAACUCUGGAACUGCCUUUGAUACUGUCGAUCUAGAGUAUGGAAGAGGUGAGUGGAAUUCCGAGUGUAGAGGUGAAAUUCGUAGAUAUUCGGAGGAACACCAGUGGCGAAGGCGGCUCACUGGUCCAUUACUGACGCUGAGGCACGAAAGCCAGGGGAGCAAACGGG